GUCAGUGUCCAGUACUGACUUCGCGUGAUUACUUGCGAACUUGUCAGCAACGCGCAGCGCAUUCCUGCCUUCGCGUGCGCAUGUGAGCGUCGCUCGUUGUACAAGGCUAGAAGCCAGUGCAGGUCCAAUAGGAG
rnacentral:misc_RNA from 1 species